rnacentral:rRNA from 1 species
UACGUAGGCAGCGAACGUUGUUCGGAAUUACUGGGCGUAAAGAGUGUGUAGGCGGUGCUCUAAGUUCGGUGUGAAAUCUCUCGGCUUAACUGGGAGGGUGCGCCGGAAACUGGAGUGCUCGAACGUGGGAGAGGAAAGCGGAAUUCCUGGUGUAGCGGUGAAAUGCGUAGAUAUCAGGAGGAACACCUGCGGUGUAGACGGCUUUCUGGACCAUUGUUGACGCUGAGACACGAAAGCGUGGGUAGCAAACAGG